rnacentral:rRNA from 1 species
GACGAACGCUGGCGGCGUGCCUAACACAUGCAAGUCGAACGAGGUCCAAGGAAGCUUGCUUCCUGAAGACCUAGUGGCGAACGGGUGAGUAACACGUGAGAAACCUGCCUCGGAGUGGGGAAUAACUCGGGGAAACUCGAGCUAAUACCGCAUACCUUCACAUGAUCGCAUGGUCGAGUGAAGAAAGAAUUUCGCUCUGAGAGGGUCUCGCGGCCUAUCAGCUUGUUGGUGGGGUAACGGCCUACCAAGGCAACGACGGGUAGCUGGUUUGAGAGAACGAUCAGCCACACUGGGACUGAGACACGGCCCAGACUCCUACGGGAGGCAGCAGUGGGGAAUCGUUGCGCAAUGGGCGAAAGCCUGACGCAGCAACGCCGCGUGCGGGAUGACGGCCUUCGUGGUUGUAACGC